rnacentral:lncRNA from 1 species
AUGGGAGGGCCAGUGGGUGUAGGAAGGGAUAGAAGCAUCCCACUGUGGGGCAGAAGUAUCCCACCACAGGGCAGAAGCAUCCCACUGUGGGGUACCAUCUCGCCAUGGGGCAGAAGCAUCCCACCACAAGGCAGCAUCCCACCAUGGGGUACCAUCCCACCGCGGGGCAGAAGCAUCCAACCAUGGGGCAGAAGCAUCCCACCGUGGGGUAUCAUCCCAGCACAGGCAGAAGCAUCCCACCAUGAGGCAGAAGCAUCCCACCAUGGGGUACCAUCCCACUGUGGGGCAGCAUCUCACAACGGGGCAGAAGCAUCCCACCAUGGGGUACCAUCCCACUGUGGGGUACCAUCCCACCAUAGGGCAGAAGCAUCCCACCAUGGGGUACCAUCCCACUGUGAGGUACCAUCCCACCAUGGGGCAGAAGCAUCCCACCAUGGGGUACCAUCCCACUGUGGGGUACCAUCCCACCAUGGGGCAGAAGCAUCCCACCAUGGGGUACCAUCCCACUACGGGACAGAAGCAUCCCACCGUGGGGUGUCAUCCCACCACAGGCAGAAGCAUCCCACCAUGGGGUACCAUCCCACUGUGGGGUACCAUCCCACCAUGGGACAGAAGCAUCUCACCACAGGGCAGAAGCAUCCCACCGGGGGGUAUCAUCCCACCACAGCGCAUCCCACCGUGGGGUGUCAUCCCACCACAGGCAGAAGCAUCCCACCAUGGGGUACCAUCCCACCAGGGGCAGAAGCAUCCCACAGUGGGAUAUCAUCCCACCACAGGCAGAAGCAUCCCAUCAUGGGGUACCAUCCCACAGUGGGGUAUCAUCCCACCAUGGGGCAGAAGCAUCGCACCAUGGGGUACCAUCCCACCAUGGGGUACCAUCCCACCACGGGGCAGCACAUCCCAGCCCAACCCAGCCCUGUGGGGAGGAGAUGCUGCCGGGAAGCCGAAAAGAGCAGGACAAGGACCAAGCGAGGAGGGCAGAGGCACAGAGGUGUAGGAGAAGAGGAAAGACCCGGAAAGAAGUGGUCGACUUGGAUUUUCAGAUUUCUAGCUACCCCACGACGCCCCGGGGCGGGGGCACCUACCCUAACGCAGGAGGUAUUUCAGGCACGUCUAAGGCAUCGCAGGAGCUCUCUUGGCUUUCAGCAUCGCCUGGGUUUCCUCCCUACAGCUUCUCCCACCAGCACGUGGUGCCAAACGCUAGCAAAGAAAAAAAUCUGGAAGCGGAUGAACAGAGACAAACUCUCAUGCACUACCACCGAACGCCGUCACAGGAGUUAUGAAGCACCAACCACGAACACAGGAUUCACUUUUUUUUACUGGCAGAGCCGAAGCUAACCAUAACACCAAAGGUGAAGAAAAGUGGGGUUCACCAGCCACAGGGAGCUGCCAGCACGUUGAGGGGUGCUGGGCUCCUCGUUAACCCGCCGGCGGGGCCGCUCAAAACCCCCCAGGGCUGCCCUACCACCAGAAAUUAAAAAGCACAAGACCAAACACCGCGUUAACAUCAUAGUCAUCUAAGCCUGUCGCUAUACAUCUGACGACUUAAAUAAAAAAAAAGAAGGUUCUGGAAAGAAACCA